CCCGCUGAACUUAAGCAUAUCAAUAAGCGGAGGAAAAGAAACCAACAGGGAUUGCCUCAGUAACGGCGAGUGAAGCGGCAACAGCUCAAAUUUGAAAUCUGGCUCUUUCAGGGUCCGAGUUGUAAUUUGUAGAAGAUGCUUCGGGUGUGGCUCUGGUCUAAGUUCCUUGGAACAGGACGUCAUAGAGGGUGAGAAUCCCGUAUGUGACUGGUUGCCUUCGCCUAUGUGAAGCUCUUUCGACGAGUCGAGUUGUUUGGGAAUGCAGCUCAAAAUGGGUGGUAAAUUUCAUCUAAAGCUAAAUAUUGGCCAGAGACCGAUAGCGCACAAGUAGAGUGAUCGAAAGAUGAAAAGCACUUUGGAAAGAGAGUUAAACAGUACGUGAAAUUGUUGAAAGGGAAGCGCUUGCAACCAGACUUGCGCGCUGCUGAUCAUCCGGGGUUCUCUCCGGUGCACUCGGUUGCGCUCAGGCCAGCAUCGGUUUGGGUGGUUGGAUAAAGGCUGUGGGAAUGUGGCUUCUCUCGGGGAGUGUUAUAGCCCACGGUGCAAUGCAGCCUACCCGGACCGAGGACCGCGCUUCGGCUAGGAUGCUGGCGUAAUGGUUGUAAGCGACCCGUCUUGAAACAC
rnacentral:rRNA from 1 species